rnacentral:rRNA from 1 species
AGUGGGGAAUAUUGGACAAUGGGGGCAACCCUGAUCCAGCAAUGCCGCGUGUGUGAAGAAGGCCUGAGGGUUGUAAAGCACUUUCAGUGGGGAGGAGGGUUGAUAGGUUAAGAGCUAAUUAACUGGACGUUACCCACAGAAGAAGCACCGGCUAACUCCGUGCCAGCAGCCGCGGUAAUACGGAGGGUGCAAGCGUUAAUCGGAAUUACUGGGCGUAAAGCGUGCGUAGGUGGUUGAUUAAGUUAUCUGUGAAAUCCCUGGGCUUAACCUGGGCAGGUCAGAUGAUACUGGUUGACUCGAGUAUGGGAGAGGGUAGUGGAAUUUCCGGUGUAGCGGUGAAAUGCGUAGAGAUCGGAAGGAACACCAGUGGCGAAGGCGGCUACCUGGCCUAAUACUGACACUGAGGCACGAAAGCGUGGGGAGCAAA